AAAAAAAGAAGAUAUUUAUGUCAGGCUGAGUGAAGUCGAAGCCUUAUUAUUACAAGGCUUCGACUUCGCUCAGCUUGACAGGUGAAACUACCAU
rnacentral:miRNA from 1 species